GUGGGGAAUAUUGGACAAUGGGCGAAAGCCUGAUCCAGCCAUGCCGCGUGUGUGAAGAAGGUCUUCGGAUUGUGAAGCACUUUAAGUUGGGAGGAAGGGUAGUAACCUAAUACGUUGCUACUUUGACGUUACCGACAGAAUAAGCACCGGCUAACUUCGUGCCAGCAGCCGCGGUAAUACGAAGGGUGCAAGCGUUAAUCGGAAUUACUGGGCGUAAAGCGCGCGUAGGUGGUUCAGUAAGUUGGAAGUGAAAUCCCCGGGCUCAACCUGGGAACUGCUUUCAAAACUGCUGAGCUAGAGUACGGUAGAGGGUGGUGGAAUUUCCUGUGUAGCGGUGAAAUGCGUAGAUAUAGGAAGGAACACCAGUGGCGAAGGCGACCACCUGGACUGAUACUGACACUGAGGUGCGAAAGCGUGGGGAGCAAACAGGAUUAGAUACCCGAGUAGUCC
rnacentral:rRNA from 1 species